rnacentral:rRNA from 1 species
CCUACGGGCGGCUGCAGUGGGGAAUGUUGGACAAUGGGCGAAAGCCUGAUCCAGCCAUGCCGCGUGUGUGAAGAAGGCCUUCGGGUUGUAAAGCACUUUCAGUGGGGAAGAAAGCCUUGGGGCUAAUACCCUCGAGGAAGGACAUCACCCACAGAAGAAGCACCGGCUAACUCCGUGCCAGCAGCCGCGGUAAUACGGAGGGUGCGAGCGUUAAUCGGAAUUACUGGGCGUAAAGCGCGCGUAGGCGGUCUGAUAAGCCGGUUGUGAAAGCCCCGGGCUCAACCUGGGAACGGCAUCCGGAACUGUCAGGCUAGAGUGCAGGAGAGGAAGGUAGAAUUCCCGGUGUAGCGGUGAAAUGCGUAGAGAUCGGGAGGAAUACCAGUGGCGAAGGCGGCCUUCUGGACUGACACUGACGCUGAGGUGCGAAAGCGUGGGUAGCAAACAGGAUUAGAUACCCUGGUAGUC